rnacentral:rRNA from 1 species
CCUACGGGAGGCAGCAGUAGGGAAUCUUCCGCAAUGGACGAAAGUCUGACGGAGCAACGCCGCGUGAGUGACGAAGGUUUUCGGAUCGUAAAACUCUGUUGUGAGGGAAGAACAAGUACCACUUAACUACUGGUACCUUGACGGUACCUCACCAGAAAGCCACGGCUAACUACGUGCCAGCAGCCGCGGUAAUACGUAGGUGGCAAGCGUUGUCCGGAAUUAUUGGGCGUAAAGCGCGCGCAGGCGGUCCCUUAAGUCUGAUGUGAAAGCCCACGGCUCAACCGUGGAGGGUCAUUGGAAACUGGGGGACUUGAGUGCAGAAGAGGAAAGUGGAAUUCCACGUGUAGCGGUGAAAUGCGUAGAGAUGUGGAGGAACACCAGUGGCGAAGGCGACUUUCUGGUCUGUAACUGACGCUGAGGCGCGAAAGCGUGGGGAGCAAACAGGAUUAGAUACCCUGGUAGUCCACGCCGUAAACGAUGAGUGCUAAGUGUUAGGGGGUUUCCGCCCCUUAGUGCUGCAGCUAACGCAUUAAGCACUCCGCCUGGGGAGUACGGCCGCAAGGCUGAAACUCAAAUGAAUUGACGGGG